rnacentral:rRNA from 1 species
AGGACGAACGCUGGCGGCGUGCCUAAUGCAUGCAAGUCGCACGCAGCGAGCUUGCUCGCUGAGUGGCGCACGGCUGAGGAUCACGUGGGAACAUGCCUCCUUGUGGGGGACAACACCGCGAAAGCGGUGCUAAUCCCGCAUACGCUCGGCAACGAGGAAAGCGGCAACGCGCAGGGAGAGUGGCCCGCGGCCCACCAGGUCGUUGGUGGGGUAAUGGCCUACCAAGCCGGUGACGGGUAGCUGGUCUGUGAGGACAGACAGCCAGACUGGGACUGAGACACGGCCCAGACUCCUACGGGAGCAGCAGCAAGGAUUUUCGCAAUGGGCGCAAGCCUGAACGAGCAACGCCGCGUGGAGGAUGACGGCCUUCGGGUUGUAAACGUCCUUUUUCGGGGACGAGUGAUCGGACGGUACCCCGGAAUAAGGCUCGGCUAACUCUGUGCCAGCAGCCG